UUAACGUCUUUGCCGUUGAAUUUGUGUGUGCUGUGUGAGUGUGACCGUAUGUGUGAACAACCGCGAAGUUAUCGAUUGAUCAUUGCACACAGUUUUCCGAAAUAGCGAAGUGGGAAGGCGUUUCAGUACAUCUGUGUUUCGCUAGUGGAGUUUCGUGCCGCAUAUCUGCAACUUGAAAGCUCAAAGUUGUUUCUCGAUUCUGUUAUUUACACGUUCGUCAUGAGCGCCAUCGGUGGUAAUGAUGAAAUGGUAACGAGUAGACUGAAAGCCUUAACAGAUAAGCUUGAAGAAAUGGAUGCAAAUUUAUUGAGAGUUAAGAGGGAAUAUAAAGAAUUUCUGGAACUUAACAGGACUGUUUGCAGUUAUAUUCAAGCCUCCAUCAGAAGUGUCAGCUACGAUGAAGACAAUCCUGACACACGAAACGCUGGGAGUCAGCUACGAUGAAGAAAAUCCUGACACACGAAACGCUGGAAGUUAAUAAAACAGAAUUUUGGUGCAUUUCGUUGGUAUUAUCAGUUCUGAAUUUGUGCACACUCAGCGGCAAGCAAUGUAUCGAGAUGUUCAAAAAUUAAAAUUUGUUUCCGAUACCUCAGUAAUUGCUUCUACAUCAGGUUCUUUAUUUGGGAUGUCGUUUUAUUUGUGAAAUGACAUUAAUUACGGUUAACAGUGUGGUGAUAAUGCAAUUUCUGUAGAGGUAUGUAAGUAAUUCCAGGCCUUGUUGUCUUUCAUGUGUAAACGAAAAGUUGAUUGUGACUGCGACAUGCAACGUGCACGAAAAUGUUUCCAUGUUUGUUCCAGUGCAGCCUGAUGAAGACAGUUCCAUAAGUAGAGAAGCAUAAUUGCAAUACUGUAUGUUAAUGGAUGGAAGAGGUGAAAUAUCCACAACAUGUGUGAUGGUCUCUGUACUUUAAGUUGGCUUUGAUAUGAGGCUGUUAAAGUAGGCUUAGCUUACAAGCUGAUAGAUCUUGCACAUAUACUUAUUCAAAUUUCAAUGGAUAUACUUGUUAAUAUGCAGCUUACAGCUUUUAGUGAGUUUGAGUAUAUGUGAUUUUUAUUGUGAAGGUGUCUGCUUUGCUUUAUAUUAGUGUCAAGAAGUUGCAUGUAAUGAGACUGAAAUAAAAAUAUAUGGACACAAUUGUUUGUUGCAUAAUGCUGACUUUUUUCACGUUAUUCCUUCACAGAGAAACCAAAAAGAGUCUAAAAUGAUGAUCUGAUAAUAGAAUAACCAAAUAAAUGGAAAAAUGGCGUUUCAUGUGAUGAAUAUGUGCCUUAGGAUAAUCUUACUGUCAGUGAAUUUGCUCGUAGAUUUGAUGCAUCUUGUGGAAAAACAAAUUUUUCUUCUUUUAUCUGGACAUGGGUCUCUGAAGUAACAGCACAAGUGCUUUUUUUAUUUAUUAUUAUUUUUUUUUGGCACAUGUUGUGGUUUUGUGUUUUGCAAAACAGUUGUGAUUUUUUUUCAGUUUCAUUUGUGCUUGUUACAAGUUUCACUUUAAAAAUUGCAGUUUUUCAUGGUGAAGAUUAUGAGGAAACAAAAAAAGACAAACUGUGUAAGAAAAAUGUAGAGAACCAUAGCGUGUGGUAACAAGAAAGGAAAUAAACUGAUUCUGUAAC